GAUGAACGCUGGCGGUCUGCUUAACACAUGCAAGUCGAACGAGAAAGAGGUUGCUUGCAACCUUGAGUAGAGUGGCGCACGGGUGAGUAACACGUAGAUAAUCUGCCUCCAAGCCUGGAAUAACUGUCCGAAAGGGCAGCUAAUACCGGAUAAAGUGAGAUUACAUAAGUGAUUUUAUGAAGACAGCCUAUCCUUGGAAGCUGUUGUUUGGAGACGAGUCUGCGGACCAUUAGCUUGUUGGUGGGGUAACGGCCUACCAAGGCUACGAUGGUUAGCUGGUCUGAGAGGAUGAUCAGCCACACUGGAACUGGAACACGGUCCAGACUCCUACGGGAGGCAGCAGUGAGGAAUUUUUGCGCAAUGGGGGCAACCCUGACGCAGCAACGCCGCGUGAGUGAAGAAG
rnacentral:rRNA from 1 species